GAGGAAAAGAAACUAACUAGGAUUCCCUUAGUAACGGCGAGUGAACCGGGAUGAGCUCAAAUUUGAAAUCUGGCGUCUUUCAGGCGUCCGAGUUGUAAUCUAUAGAGGCGUUUUCCGCGCCGGACCGCGUCCAAGUCUCUUGGAAUAGAGUAUCAAAGAGGGUGACAAUCCCGUACUUGACGCGACAACCGGUGCUCUGUGAUACGUUCUCAAUGAGUCGAGUUGUUUGGGAAUGCAGCUCUAAAUGGGUGGUAAAUUCCAUCUAAGGCUAAAUAUUGGCGAGAGACCGAUAGCGAACAAGUACCGUGAGGGAAAGAUGAAAAGCACUUUGGAAAGAGAGUUAAACAGCACGUGAAAUUGUUAAAAGGGAAACGAUUGAAGUCAGUCGUGUGGGAAGUAUUCAGCCGUCUCUGGCGGUGUAUUUGCUUCUCACGGGUCAACAUCAGUUUGAUCCGGUAGAAAAAGGCGGGAAGAAGGUGGCACCCUCGGGUGUGUUAUAGCUUCCUGUCAUAUGUGCCGGACCAGACUGAGGAACGCAGCUUGCAGCAAUGCCGGGGUUCGCCCACGUACAAGCUUAGGAUGUUGACAUAAUGGCUUUAAACGACCCGUCU
rnacentral:rRNA from 1 species